AUUGAACGCUGGCGGCAGGCCUAACACAUGCAAGUCGAGCGAGCGGCGGACGGGUGAGUAAUGUAUGGGGACUGCCCGAUAGAGGGGGAUAACUACUGGAAACGGUAGCUAAUACCGCAUACUAUCGGAUAACCCAUAUGGGAUUUGCUAGUAGGUGAGGUAAUGGCUCACCUAGGCGCCGAUCCCUAGCUGGUCUGAGAGGAUGAUCAGCAACACUGGGAUGGAGACAGGGCCCAGACUCCUACGGAGGCAGCAGUGGGGAAUAUUGCAAAAGGGGCGCAAGCCUGAUGCAGCCAUGCCGCGUGUAUGAAGAAGGCCCUAGGGUUGUAAAGUACUUUCAGUCGGGAGGCGUUACCGACAGAAGAAGCACCGGCUAACUCCGUGCCAGCAGCCGCGGUAAUUC
rnacentral:rRNA from 1 species